GUGCUCACUUAGGCAGCACAUAAACUAAAAUUGGAAUGAUACAGAGAAGAUCAGCAUGGCCCCUGCACAAGGAUGACAUGCACAUUAGUGAAGUGUUUCAUAUAUGU